AAUAAACAAUCUGCGGAUUCUAGCCUGAAAAACAUUUGUGUUUUCUGUGACACCACGGUGCUCCUUCAUUGGAGAAAAUAAUCUCAUUUUAUUUGUUCAGACCAGAACAGAGGCUUCCUUUUUUUGUUUAAGGAAUAUUUUUAACAACAAUAUUCACUUUCUGCAGGUUCCAUAGAAGAAACUGAAGUCCUGUAUACGCCAAUUAAUUUCAAGGACAAGAGACACAGUCUGGGAGAGAAUAUUCCAGAGUCAUCAGGAAGCAGUGAUCGCAGCAAUCUGACAACGGUCUAUGCCAAACUGGAGCAUCCAAACCCACCGACAGACGCUGCUAACACCUGAUGGCUAACAUACCUGCUAUAACCCACUGGUCUAGAACAGCUCAGUAUAAAGAUUAACAUACCGUUUAAUAAUCACUGUUUGUACACCGCUGUAGAUAUUUUACUGUUUUGUGUUGAUAAAAUGACCAUAAACAUCUCAUCCAGUAAAUACUUGAUCUUGCGAUCCCAGUCAGUUGAUCCUUCAUCAGCACCAGAACCAGAGUUAAACUGAACCUUUACAGCAGGAUUUACUGGAACCACCUCGGGUUCUUGGCAGAAAAGCCGCGAUAUCAAAAUAAAAGAAAGGAAGCUUAGAGACAGCUUGUUUUAUUUUGAGAAUAAUCUGAAUAUUUAAAGCUGCAUUUGUAUUGUUUUUUGUCUUAAAUUUAACUAAUAAAAAAUCAAAACUAA